rnacentral:misc_RNA from 1 species
UUUUUUUUUUUUUUUUUGAAGGUUAUUUCCUGCAAAUCUCAUAAUAAAGUACGUGAGGUUAUCAAUUUUCGAAUUCAAAUCUUAUGGCAAAAAUUUAACUAAUUAAUAGCACAUUAAACAAAGAGAAAGGAUAGUAUUAAAAAGUGAGUAAACAGGAAAACAAAAGCAGAAGGAAUAAAGUAUGACUUUAUUAUGGCUUUAAGAGAAACAUGGAUAGACUUUGAAAGGGAAGGUACAAGGAUUGAUUUCACAUAAUCCUUAUAGUUGGUUUUGAAGUCUUUUAAUUGCCAUUAUUUCAAGUUCUCUGAA